rnacentral:rRNA from 1 species
AGAGUUUGAUCCUGGCUCAGGAUGAACGCUGGCGGCGUGCCUAACACAUGCAAGUCUAAGGAGAAAGUAUUCUUCGGAAUAUUAUUAAACUGGCGAACGGGUGAGUAACGCGUAGGCAACCUACCUUAUAGAUUGGAAUAACCUUGAGAAAUUGGGGCUAAUACCGAAUAAUAUUUGCAAAAAUCAAAGGAGGCUUUUCGGAGCUUUCACUAUAAGAUGGGCCUGCGUCUGAUUAGCUAGAUGGUAAGGUAAAAGCUUACCAUAGCUACGAUCAGUAGCUGGUCUGAGAGGAUGAUCAGCCACACUGGGACUGAGAUACGGCCCAGACUCCUACGGGAGGCAGCAGUGAGGAAUUUUGCGCAAUGGGGGAAACCCUGACGCAGCAACGCCGCGUGAUCGAUGAAGCUUUGCGGAGUGUAAAGAUCUGUCAUAAGGGAAGAAUAAUAUAUAUUCUAACACAAUAUAUAUCUGACGGUACCUUAUAAGAAAGCACCGGCUAACUAUGUGCCAGCAGCCGCGGUAAUACAUGGGGUGCAAGCGUUGUCCGGAUUUAUUGGGCGUAAAGGGCUCGUAGGUGGAUUAGUAAGUCGAAAUUGAAAUCCAAUGGCUUAACCAUUGUCACGGUUUUGAUACUGCUAAUCUUGAGUUAGAUAGAGGUAAGUGGAAUUCCUGGUGUAGCGGUGAAAUGCGUAGAUAUCAGGAGGAACGCCAAAGGAGAAGUCAGCUUACUGGAUCUAUACUGACACUGAGGAGCGAAAGCGUGGGUAGCAAACAGGAUUAGAGACCCUGGUAGUCCACGCCGUAAACGAUGAGUACUAGAUGGUGGGUGAUUCGACCCUCUCACUGUUACAGCUAACGCAUUAAGUACUCCGCCUGGGAAGUACGUUCGCAAGAAUGAAACUCAAAGGAAUUGACGGGGACCCGCACAAGCGGUGGAUUAUGUGGUUUAAUUCGAUGCAACGCGAAGAACCUUACCUAGAUUUGACAUGUUAAAGAAAGUCUUGUGAAAAUAAGAGCCUUUUUAAGUUUACUUAAAAACUUUAUCACAGGUGAUGCAUGGCUGUCGUCAGCUCGUGUCGUGAGAUGUUCGGUUAAGUCCGGUAACGAGCGCAACCCUUAUCCUUAGUUGCCAGCACGUAAUGGUGGGGACUCUAAGGAAACUGUCUGGGAUAACCAGAAGGAAGGUGGGGUCGACGUCAAGUCAUCAUGCCCCUUAUGUCCAGGGCUGCACGCAUGCUACAAUGGCAAGUACAACGAGUCGCAAUACCGCGAGGUGGAGCAAAUCUCUUAAAGCUUGUCUCAGUUCGGAUAGGAGUCUGCAACUCGACUCCUUGAAGUUGGAGUCGCUAGUAAUCGCAAAUCAGCAAAGUUGCGGUGAAUACGUUCUCGGGGUUUGUACACACCGCCCGUCAAGUCACGGAAGUCGGCAAUACGCGAAGCCAGUGGUCUAACCCUUUGGGGAAGAAGCUGUCGAACGUAGGGUUGGUAACUGGGACUAAGUCGUAACAAGGUAACC